rnacentral:rRNA from 1 species
GAUGAACGCUGGCGGCGUGCCUAAUACAUGCAAGUCGAGCGAACGGACGAGAAGCUUGCUUCUCUGAUGUUAGCGGCGGACGGGUGAGUAACACGUGGAUAACCUACCUAUAAGACUGGGAUAACUUCGGGAAACCGGAGCUAAUACCGGAUGAUAUUUUGAACCGCAUGGUUCAAAGGUGAAAGACGGUCUUGCUGUCACUUAUAGAUGGAUCCGCGCUGCAUUAGCUAGUUGGUAAGGUAACGGCUUACUAAGGCAACGAUGCAUAGCCGACCUGAGAGGGUGAUCGGCCACACUGGAACUGAGACACGGUCCAGACUCCUACGGGAGGCAGCAGUAGGGAAUCUUCCGCAAUGGGCGAAAGCCUGACGGAGCAACGCCGCGUGAGUGAUGAAGGUCUUCGGAUCGUAAAACUCUGUUAUUAGGGAAGAACAUAUGUGUAAGUAACUGUGCACAUCUUGACGGUACCUAAUCAGAAAGCCACGGCUAACUACGUG